AUUUUCAAGUUAACUCAAAUUUAAGAUAAAAAAAAUAAAUUCAAAUAAUUUAUAGCUUUUACGCAUAAACACAACCGCGCGCUGGAACUGCUCAAAGUGUACUAUAGCACACACCUAUAGUUCGAGAUGUUAUGCAUUUCAUAUGACUAGAUAAGCACGCACACCUGUCACGACCCACACACACAAAGGCAUACAUAUUUUGAUAUUGAUUCGCACACCUUGAAUUUGUUAACAAAAAAGGCAAAAGCAAUCUACCGUACAAAAAAAAACAUGAAACAAUGAAACAAAUCAGAAGCGUGUAAAUCGUCAUGUAUCUUAUGUGCGGCCUGCGCCUUCUAAUUGAUGUUCGAUAAGCCCAAAUGCGUAUCAUCGGAACUGUUAAUAACUCGGCAAUGGCAGUGCAAACAGAUUAAACCGAGCAUUUAAAAAAUCCUGAUUUACGUCACACAUGUACACCAAACAGACAGCAAUAGCAUAGUUACACUACAGCGAAAACUACUAAUUCCCCAAAUGAUGCAGUUAAGUCUGACAACUCAUCAAGACAUUUCUGACGCUUGCGCACAUUCCAGUGAAGUCCAUCGGCCAACGACGCAAA